AACAUUGUCUAUCAGCUGUCAAUCAACAACCCUUCCAGCAUUGGUUCCGUCCCAGAAAAAACAGACUCUGCUUCCCAAUUAUCACAGGCGCUGGCCCAGGGGAGGUGAGAAGACGAGAAGGAGAAGCACUGUGUUCUUUUAGAAGUGGCUCCUUCUGUGUUUCUCUGGCACCAAGAAAAAGCCACAGAACUCUGGGUGUGCCUCAUGUGGGUCUCAUCUCUUCCCAGUUUAGGACAAAGUUACCAAAGCGCUCAACUUCCAUGUCUUUUUUUCAACAGACCUCCUCCUCUGGGUCUGAUGAUGGAAUAAAAUGCUCAAGACGAGGGGCUGGAGAGAGGGCACCACAGUUAAGAGCAUUUUGGCCCCUGC
rnacentral:lncRNA from 1 species